rnacentral:ncRNA from 1 species
CGUAAACUUUAGGGGUGUUCUAUUGAUUUAGGACUGAGAAAAACCCUUUGAACCUGAUUUGGUUAGUACCAACGAAGGGAAAAGUUGAAAAACGCAU